GACGAACCUUGCAAACGUUAUUCGGAAUCACUGGGCUUAAAGGGUGCGUAGGCGGUGCGGAAAGUUGGGUGUGAAAUCCCUCAGCUUAACUGAGGAACUGCGCUCAAAACUGCCGUGCUUGAGGGAGAUAGAGGUGAGCGGAACUUAGGGUGGAGCGGUGAAAUGCGUUGAUAUCCUAAGGAACACCGGUGGCGAAAGCGGCUCACUGGAUCUCUUCUGACGCUGAGGCACGAAAGCUAGGGGAGCGAACGGGAUUAGAAACCCGGGUAGU
rnacentral:rRNA from 1 species